rnacentral:tRNA from 2 species
GCGGGCGUGGCGGAAUUGGAAUACGCGCCAGGUUUAGGUCCUGGUGGGCUUCGGCCCGUGGGGGUUCGAGUCCCUCCGCCCGCA